rnacentral:rRNA from 1 species
GCUGAAAGGCAGGAGUGCCCGCAAGGGAGCGCGGAGACAGGUGGUGCAUGGCUGUCGUCAGCUCGUGUCGUGAGGUGUUGGGUUAAGUCCCGCAACGAGCGCAACCCUCACCCCUUGUUGCUACAGGUAAAGCUGGGCACUCUAGGGGAACUGCCCCGGUCAACGGGGAGGAAGGCGGGGAUGACGUCAAGUCAUCAUGCCCCUUACGUCCUGGCUACACACGUGCUACAAUGGCCGGUACAAAGGGAUGCCACACCGCGAGGUAGAGCUAAACCCAAAAAGCCGGUCUAAGUUCAGAUUGGAGUCUGCAACUCGACUCCAUGAAGGAGGAAUCGCUAGUAAUCGCGUAUCAGCACGACGCGGUGAAUACGUUCCCGGGCCUCGUACACACCGCCCGUCACACCACGAAAGCCAG